rnacentral:rRNA from 1 species
GACCUCAAAUCAGGUAGGACUACCCGCUGAACUUAAGCAUAUCAAUAAGCGGAGGAAAAGAAACUAACAAGGAUUCCCCUAGUAACUGCGAGUGAAGCGGGAAAAGCUCAAAUUUAAAAUCUGGCGGUCUCUGGCCGUCCGAGUUGUAAUCUAGAGAAGUGUUAUCCGCGCUGGACCGUGUACAAGUCUCCUGGAAUGGAGCGUCAUAGAGGGUGAGAAUCCCGUCUUUGACACGGACUGCCAGGGCUUUUGUGAUGCGCUCUCAAAGAGUCGAGUUGUUUGGGAAUGCAGCUCAAAAUGGGUGGUAAAUUCCAUCUAAAGCUAAAUAUUGGCGAGAGACCGAUAGCGAACAAGUACCGUGAGGGAAAGAUGAAAAGAACUUUGGAAAGAGAGUUAAACAGUACGUGAAAUUGCUGAAAGGGAAACGCUUAAAGUCAGUCGCGUUGGCCGGGGAUCAACCUUGCUUUUGCUGGGCGUACUUUCCGGUCGACGGGUCAGCAUCAAUUUUGACCGUUGGAUAAAGUCUAGGG